AGAAGAAUUUAUUUUUUUUGUGAUUUUAUUGCUCUUGGUGGUAGAAUUAGGAUUUCUAAUUCUCAACAAAACCUUCAUGCAAUCGCGUUGCAGGUAUUGAGGUUUAGGGUUUCUUCUUGGUACGAGUAGCUUAAUUCCUUAGAUAUUGAAUUUUUUUUCUCGUAGUUAGGCGACGACCAAAGUGGGAUUUUACGCCAUUGACAGUAAAGCUAAACUGGAUGCUUCAUUAAUUGCUAUAUUUUUGAAUCUUGAAAUAACUUGGAUUAAGGUUUGUGUAGCAUUUUGUGCUGAUGGCAGAUAGCAAAGGAUUUGUUACGGCCAAUGAUCACUCCAGAAUCGAUCCAGAUGCAUCCAGUAACAAUGCUAUAUGAAAUAUGCCAAAACAAAGGUUGGAAAGUUCACAUAAAAGAUAUGUGGAGUAAAAAAACUGGUGAAAUUCAAGUUUUUGUGGAUGGAAAAUUUGCUGGAGAGGGAAGGUACGAAGGCAAGAAAUUUAUUGCCGUUAAUAGAGCAGCACACGAUGCAAACCAGCAGAUUGUAAGAAGGCUUGCUCAAGAAAAUACACAGUGCACAUCCUCUCCAAGUUGCCACCUCUAGACGACUCUUUGUUAAGGUUCUUGAAUAGCAAUUGAAUCUAAUUAAUAUGUCACACUUGUAUACGCAAUAUAAGUCUAGACGACUCUAAAAGUUGUGUUUCCUCCUUAAACUGGCUGCAUUCUUCUGUACUUUGAAAUGGACAACAUAACCAUGAUCUUGUCGUCAUUAAUUGCUAAUGAAGGUGUUUCGUUCUCACUGAUAGUUGUUCGUUAAAAUUCCGCAGGCGUACGGGUUCGUUGUACAAGU
rnacentral:lncRNA from 1 species